ensembl:ncRNA C12D8.25 ncRNA
AGUACGGAAAAGUGCACGUUUCGAUCAAAGGCCGCGCGUGCUUUGCUUCGCGGAAUGGAUGAUCGGUGACGCCGGACGGAGAGAGGGAACAGGCGCGGCGUCGAGCCGCAGACAGAGCGAGAUAGUACAUGCUAGAGUUGU